rnacentral:rRNA from 1 species
GACAAGGUUCCAGGCCCUACGGGGUGCAGCAGGCGCGAAACCUCCGCAAUGUGAGAAAUCGCGACGGGGGGAUCCCAAGUGCCAUUCUUAACGGGAUGGCUUUUCAUUAGUGUAAAGAGCUUUUGGAAUAAGGGCUGGGCAAGACCGGUGCCAGCCGCCGCGGUAACACCGGCAGCUCUAGUGGUAGCAGUUUUUAUUGGGCCUAAAGCGUCCGUAGCCGGUUUAAUAAGUCUCUGGUGAAAUCCUGUAGCUUAACUGUGGGAAUUGCUGGAGAUACUAUUAGACUUGAGACCGGGAGAGGUUAGAGGUACUCCCAGGGUAGAGGUGAAAUUCUGUAAUCCUGGGAGGACCGCCUGUUGCGAAGGCGUCUAACUGGAACGGUUCUGACGGUGAGGGACGAAAGUUAGGGGCGCGAACCGGAUUAGAUACCCGGGUAGUCCUAACCGUAAACGAUGCGGACUUGGUGUUGGGGUGGCUCUGAGCUGCUCCAGUGCCGAAGGGAAGCUGUUAAGUCCGCCGCCUGGGAAGUACGGUCGCAAGACUGAAACUUAA